rnacentral:misc_RNA from 1 species
GUGUGUUGGAUCUUCUCUUACAUCUUCAUUCUUGUCUCCGUCUUGUUGAAUCCGCCGCCCCCUCCACCUUAACCUCCGUGCGUCGUGGCUACUGACUAGCAACACCACCCCCUCCGCCCACUUCUCUCCCAGGGCGAGAGAGAGCGAGCGAGCGAGACAUAAACACACACGAGAACACACACACACACACACACACACACACGCAUGCAGAAAGGGCACUUAUGGGCGCGUACCAUGUGCAUAUUUCUGACACGACGUUGGUAGACCCGUUUAACACCCUCCUCUUCUUCCCAUCCAAAGCGCCGCCUCAGUGAGCGGGUACACACAAACACACAGAAUCCCCUCUCCUCCCCUCCCCUCCUCCUCGCACCCACGGAUCUUUACUCGUCCCUCGCCUCCGCUUUUCCUUCUCUCCUCCUGUGUUCCGCUUCCAUGUGGAUGGGCGGGUGGAUGCCACUGUUCUCCUCAACCACCUCGGCUUCUUCGUCUCCCCUUUUGUUUUUCUGUGUGUGCGUAUAUAUAUGUGUGUGCGUACGUCGUUCUCACACGGCCACCCCCGGAGAGCUGCCUGGCUUUCUUCGCUUGCCGUGGGCUCGUUCUUGCGUGUUCUACUCCGCUGCUGCUGCGUGAUGUCUUGCUCCGCAUAUCUUGCCUACUUGCCCGCGGGCAUGUGAAGGACUUACUGCUGCGUGAUGAUUGCACCCCGUGUGCGCGCUUCGGUGCUUGAGGCGAAGAUGAUGAUGCACCUCGACGCAGGAAAUCGGAGUUACAGAAUGGACUCGUUGUGGCUCAGGUAAAUAGAAUGCGAAACGAAACCGUUGUUGCGCUAAUGCGUACUCCUGCAUGUGAGAGAAAAGGAGAGAUGGAGAACGGCCAACAUGUGAGGCGUUGCAAUGGACGGGGUCUGUGGACUUGCUUCGUUUUGUGUUGCUGUUGCCUCCCUUUCCCCCUUCCUUGGCCCUCUUUUUCUUUUCUCUAUCUCACUGCCCUCCCCCCGUGCCGCCUUUUCCAUGCAUCAUCCUCCGCCGUGUGCGCACGUGUGCCUCUCACCCUUUCCACACUGUGCCGCUCUUCUCUCUGUGCGCAUUGGAAGAACCCACCACCACCGCCGUUUCUUUUCCUUGGCGUUCUCCUGCGCUGUCGUUCUGCUUUCAACGGCUGCGAUGUGUCGUGCUCUUUGUUGUCGUUUCGCGUCUAUAUUUUUCGGCUCUCUUCUUAUUCCUUUCCAGCCAUGGGAACGACGCUUCUCGCCUCCUUCUCUCUCCCAUCAUCUCAUUUCCGUUUCCUCUUUUGUUGCUCUUCCUCCUAGACCAGUUGUGCCACGACUUCCGCCCAGCCUGCCCCCCAAACCCCCGAAUCUCUCUCUCAUCUCCCUUCGUCUCUUUUUGAUGUCUAUCUUGCUCUCCUUGUUCUCUCUUUUUCGCGGCUUCGCUGCUCUGCCCGGCGACAGUGGGUGAUGUCUAUGAAGACGGAAAACUGCGGCGGGCAGCCGAGACCGCUGCUCUCUUGAUGUUGUGAAUGCUGGCUCGGUGACAGAGAGACGAGGAGGAGAUACAAGCGAGUAGUGUAUGCUCACGUCUUUGUAUAACGACGUCCUGCACCUGAGUUCGCCUCUUCACACAGCCCACCAUCACGUCUCUGGUUUUCGAGUCUGCAUCGGCCGAGCCCUCUUUUGGUUGGCCCGUAUACGGGCAUUCUUUGCCCGCCGCUGACAAGCGAGGGCUCGUUGUGAGAUUGGUGGUGUGCUGCGUGUCUGUGUUGCUCUCUUCUUUUGGUUUUCUCUGUUCCAUUCUCUCGGUGCGUGACUAUCUGUGUCCCGAUUUCGAGCUCACGAGGGUGAGGUCUCACUCCCGGCAGACAACCCGGCCGGAGAUGACGAUGAC